CCUACGGGAGGCAGCAGUGGGGAAUAUUGCACAAUGGGGGAAACCCUGAUGCAGCGACGCCGCGUGAGUGAAGAAGUAUUUCGGUACGUAAAGCUCUAUCAGCAGGGAAGAAAAUGACGGUACCUGACUAAUAAGCCCCGGCUAACUACGUGCCAGCAGCCGCGGUAAUACGUAGGGGGCAAGCGUUAUCCGGAUUUACUGGGUGUAAAGGGAGCGUAGACGGCAGCGCAAGUCUGGAGUGAAAUCCCAUGGCUGAACCAUGGAACUGCUUUGGAAACUGUGCAGCUAGAGUGCAGGAGAGGUAAGCGGAAUUCCUGGUGUAGCGGUGAAAUGCGUAGAUAUUAGGAGGAACACCAGUGGCGAAGGCGGCUUACUGGACUGUAACUGACGUUGAGGCUCGAAAGCGUGGGGAGCAAACAGGAUUAGAUACCCGAGUAGUC
rnacentral:rRNA from 1 species